ensembl:rRNA 5S_rRNA 5S ribosomal RNA
GACACAGCCAUAUCACUCUGUAGCUGAAGACUGGUUACUCACUGAAGCUAUAAGCAGCGCUGAGCCUGGUUAGUAUCUGGAUGGAAGACCACAUGGGAAAACUAGGUUGCUGUUGGCA